rnacentral:lncRNA from 1 species
CAUUAGAAGUCCCAGACAAACAUCUGGGACUUUACAGAGCUGGUAAAUGGUUCAGAAAGCGUUGUUAUAAGACUUGAGUUGUCCUUAUCAUCAGGGAAGACAAAAAAAGUAUACGAGAUAUGAGCCACGCUUUCUAGUGUGCUUCUAAGAGGUACUUAGAUGCUGUAAUAGAGAGCAUUGCCUCUCAGAUGUUCUGGGAAAGGCCAGGUGGCAGUUCAGUGUGUCUGCAGUCCUUAUAUGGGAUACAUAUGUGCUUUUUCCUAAAUUAUCUCUUCCUAGUAGAAUCAUACUGUUUGUUUAUUUCUGUUAUUGAAACUUACACAUUUAUCCUUAGAAUUAUGCCUAUUGGGUUGUAUUCCUAUCUACUUUUGUACAAUACUAUUUUGGUGUAUUCUUAUGCCACUUUAAUGAAUAUACCUGCAUAUGGUGAACUCCAUUACCUCCAGUAUUUCCUCUACAUAUUUCUACAUUGAAUUCCAAAGUUUUCCUGGUUUUUUGGUUGAUAUAUUCUUCUAGAGCCAUUGUAUGGAAACUGUUGAAUCACAGCUGGAACCUCUGAUUGACCACCUGAGGCAAGCACUGAGUCAGCCAUGAGAGCACAGGUGAAGGCAAUUCACCUGUGUGACCAGAAGGGGUGGAGCCAGGCUCCACCUCUCCUAGACCCCAUUUAAGGUCUGACUGCCACUGAGGAAGGAUCUCUUCCUGGAGGUUGCUCCUUGUGGAGUUUUUGUGAGCCUACCACACUGUGAGCCUUUUACAUCAUGGGUCCAAAUCUGAAGUAAAAAUCUAUGACAAAAGUAACCUGCAGCCCAUCAUCUGCACAGACCAGAAGAAAAAUGUGUUUUAAAGGCACUUCAGAGAUGCAUUCAACUUCACUAGUUUAUGUGCAAUACAGAAUAUCUUCAGAAUCACUCAAGAACAAGAAGUUAUGUUUAUUUGAUUCCACCUCUCUGGGUGUUUCAUACUAUACUUCAUAUGAAGUUGAAUGGUUGUGACUGGGAGUGAGGCUGCGAAUUGACAAGACCUUGCAGUGCCCAUCUAUGGAUUGCUCUUGAAGCAACUAGUUUUACUGGACUGGCCAAGGAGAAGAUGAGUCUUCAAAAAGUACAAAAGCUCUGGGGUAGGAACAAGAUGACCAAGACUACCUGACACAAAAAUGAAUUUAAGGUAAUGAGCAGAAAAUUACUUAAAAACCAGUAUGAUUAGUGGCUUUCAGAGAGCAGAUCUGUGCGAAUGAGAGGAGAAGCUGGUUUCUGGAUUUUAUGAUAGUCCCAGAGGGAAACAGACACUGAGAUGGGACCAAGAGCUAUAGAAUAUGCAAAUGAGAAAACACUGGAAAUACAGGG